rnacentral:rRNA from 1 species
GUGGGGAAUAUUGGACAAUGGGCGCAAGCCUGAUCCAGCCAUGCCGCGUGAGUGAUGAAGGCCUUAGGGUUGUAAAGCUCUUUCAGUGGGGACGAUAAUGACGGUACCCACAGAAGAAGCCCCGGCUAACUUCGUGCCAGCAGCCGCGGUAAUACGAAGGGGGCUAGCGUUGUUCGGAUUUACUGGGCGUAAAGCGCACGUAGGCGGAUCGUUAAGUCGGGGGUGAAAUCCUGGAGCUCAACUCCAGAACUGCCUUCGAUACUGGCGAUCUUGAGUCCGGAAGAGGUGAGUGGAACUCCUAGUGUAGAGGUGGAAUUCGUAGAUAUUAGGAAGAACACCAGUGGCGAAGGCGGCUCACUGGUCUGGUACUGACGCUGAGGUGUGAAAGCGUGGGGAGCAAACAGGAUUAGAUACCCUUGUAGUCC